rnacentral:tRNA from 1 species
GCGGGUGUGGUUCAAUGGUAGAACCUCAGCCUNNCAGCCUUCCAAGCUGAUGACGCGGGUUCGAUUCCCGUCACCCGCUCCA